GGACUACAGGGGUAUCUAAUCCCAUUCGCUACCCACGCUUUCGUGCCUCAGCGUCAAUAAAAGGCCAGUGUGCUGCUUUCGCAUUUGGUGUUCCCCAUGAUAUCAACGGAUUUCACCCCUACACCAUGAGUUCCGCACACCUCUCCUUCAUUCUAAGUCAAUGCCGUUUCGCGCGCAUAUUCCAGGUUGAGCCCGGAGUUUUAACACACGACUAACAUAACCGCCUACGCACCCUUUACGCCCAAUAAUUCCGGAUAACGCUCGGGGCACUCGUAUUACCGCGGCUGCUGGCAC
rnacentral:rRNA from 1 species